rnacentral:rRNA from 1 species
AGCAGCCGCGGUAAUUCCAGCUCCAAUAGCGUAUAUUAAAGUUGUUGCAGUUAAAAAGCUCGUAGUUGAAUUUCGGGAUCAAUCUGUUGGUCGUGCCUUUGGUACGUACUAGCUUAUUGAUUUCUCCCUUCUGACGAACCAUGAUGUCAUUAAUUUGGUGUCAUGGGAAAUCAGGACUGUUACUUUGAAAAAUUAGAGUGUUUAAAGCAGGCUCACGCUUGAAUACAUUAGCAUGGAAUAAUGAAAUAGGACGUUUUGAUUCUAUUUUGUUGGUUUCUAGGAUCGACGUAAUGAUUAAUAGGGAUAGUUGGGGGCAUUAGUAUUCAAUUGUCAGAGGUGAAAUUCUUGGAUUUAUUGAAGACUAACUAUUGCGAAAGCAUUUGCCAAGGAUGUUUUCAUUAAUCAAGAACGAAAGUUAGGGGAUCGAAGACGAUCAGAUACCGUCGUAGUCUUAACCAUAAACUAUGCCGACUAGGGAUCGGAUGAUGUUAAUUUUUAAUGACUCAUUC